GAUGAACUCCAGCUUGCUGGGGGGAUUAGUGGCGAACGGGUGAGUAACACGUGAGUAACCUGCCCUUGACUCUGGGAUAAGCGUUGGAAACGACGUCUAAUACCGGAUACGACCAGCCUCGGCAUCGAGUGUUGGUGGAAAGAAUUUUGGUCAAGGAUGGACUCGCGGCCUAUCAGGUAGUUGGUGAGGUAAUGGCUCACCAAGCCUACGACGGGUAGCCGGCCUGAGAGGGUGACCGGCCACACUGGGACUGAGACACGGCCCAGACUCCUACGGGAGGCAGCAGUGGGGAAUAUUGCACAAUGGGCGAAAGCCUGAUGCAGCAACGCCGCGUGAGGGAUGACGGCCUUCGGGUUGUAAACCUCUUUUAGCAGGGAAGAAGCGAAAGUGACGGUACCUGCAGAAAAAGCACCGGCUAACUACGUGCCAGCAGCCGCGGUAAUACGUAGGGUGCAAGCGUUGUCCGGAAUUAUUGGGCGUAAAGAGCUCGUAGGCGGUUUGUCGCGUCUGCUGUGAAAACUGGAGGCUCAACCUCCAGCCUGCAGUGGGUACGGGCAGACUAGAGUGCGGUAGGGGAGAUUGGAAUUCCUGGUGUAGCGGUGGAAUGCGCAGAUAUCAGGAGGAACACCGAUGGCGAAGGCAGAUCUCUGGGCCGUAACUGACGCUGAGGAGCGAAAGGGUGGGGAGCAAACAGGCUUAGAUACCCUGGUAGUCCACCCCGUAAACGUUGGGAACUAGAUGUGGGGACCAUUCCACGGU
rnacentral:rRNA from 1 species